rnacentral:tRNA from 1 species
AUAAAGGUGAAUAUAUUUCAAUGGUAGAAAAUACGCUUGUGGUGCGUUAAAUCUGAGUUCGAUUCUCAGUAUUCACCCUA